GAUAGUGAAUAAGUCUCACGAGAUCUGACGGUUUUAUCAGGGGUUUCCGCUUUGGCUUCUUCCUCAUUUUUCUGUUGCUGCCCGUGAUGUAAGAAGUGCCUUUCACCUCCCGCCGAGAUUUUGAGUCCUCCCCAGCCAUGUGGAACUGCUGGAGUGCAGUGGCGCGAUCUAGGCUCACUACAACCUCUGUCUCCCAGGUUCAAGUGAUUCUUCUGCCUCAGCCUCCCAAGUAGCUGGGACUACAGAAUAAGGUACCUAACAUUGAUGAGGACAGCAACAGCAACAACCACUCCACUCAUUGAAUGUUAUCACGUACCAGGCGUGGUUCUACAGCAUUUUCCAGAUUGCAAUUCGAUUUCAUUCUCACAGCAACACUGCAGGGUGGACAUCAUGACUGGCAUCUUUUAGAGAUGGGUGAGAGAGGCGUGCCCAGGAUCAUCAUAACCAGCUUGUGGCAACAUGCUUCGAUGAUCUUAUAUAUAUUUUUUGAGACAGAGUUUUUAAAACAACAGCCUCUGUUGCCCAGAGUGCAGUGGCGUGAUCUCAGCUCAAUGCAACCUCCACCUCCUGGGUUCAAGUGAUUCUCCUGCUUCAGCCUCCUGAGUAUCUGGGAUUACAGGCAUGUGCUACCACGUCUGGCUAAUUUUGAAUUUUGAGUAGAGACAGGGUUUCUCCAUGUUGCCCAGUCUGGUCUUGAACUCCUGACCUCAGGAUUGACCUGCCUUGGCCUCCCAAAGUGCUGGGAUUACAGCUAUGAGCCACUACCCCAACUUCUUUUAAUGCAUACUUCUCAGGCUAUCAGUUAGACUAUACAGCAGGGGGCAAUAAUUUUUUUUUUCUGUGAAGUUCCAGAUAGUAAAUAUUUUAGGCUUGCAGGCUAUAAGCUUUCUGUCGCUCAACUCUAAACCCAACUCUGCCAUUUUGCACAAAAAUAGCCAUAGACGAUAUCUAAUGAAUGAGCAUAGCUGUGUUCCAAUAAAACUUUAUAGAUACUGAAAUUUGAACUGUAUAUAAUUUCCAUGUGUCAUUAAAUAUUAUACUCCUUUCAAUGUUUUAAAACAUUGAAAAACAUGCAAAUCAUUCUUAGUUCAUGGGGCAUAUAAACAGCAGCAGGUUAUUGAGCUGAGAGCUACAAGUUUGCCGACCCCUGCUGCAGACGUUCAAGACAGAGUCAUACCUAUUUUAUCUAUUUCCCUCACUGGCUAGUGGUAGGGCCUGGAGAAAAUAAUACAGGUUUUAGAGGUGUAUAUGUUUGAGUUGAAGUUCAAGCUCUGUAUUACACUGUACUCAGCAAAACAGAUACUCUGUAACAGUUGGUUUUCUGCCCUUUCAAAGUCAUAUUUUUUAAGGUACUGCUCAGUUUUUAUCUUAAUUCCAUCUUAUCCCAAUAAUGCAGUUUCUCCAGUGACUCACUAGGGACCAGGGGAAGAGGGGCAGUUAUUUGGGUAAAUGUUGGUGUUUUCUGUCAUUAAGCCUCACUGAAGAGAAUAUAAAGAUUUAAAAAAUGUUGGGAGCCACAGUGGCUCCGGCCAGUUAUUCAGGUGCUUGAGGAGGCAAGGCUAUGAGUUCAAGGCCAACCUGAGCAAAAUAAGAAGCUCUCAUUGAUUAAUAAAAAAUGUAUAACCAUUCUAAGGACCUCAAAAGUCCCACUGCAAAUAGGCAAAUCUCUACCCCCAACUGUAUCUGGUCUAUGAAUGGAGUCUGCAGGUUUCAAUCACCCUUGAAAGAUGGUUGCAUAUGCUAAAAUCCUACUUAACUUUCUGAAAAGUAAGUUACAUUGCAUUUUGAAAUUUAUAUAACAC